AAAGGGCGAUACAUUCGUCCGCCUUAAUGACUGCGCGGGGGCCGCGGCGGAGCGUCCCCGGGGAUCUCCAACCUCCGGGGCCGUCCUGAGCCCGUGUCCCCAAGGAUGGUCCAGCCUUCCUUGUGCACGGCCUAAGAAUAGAGCUCCCAUUCACACAAGGUGGCAGCAAGAUCUGUUCAAGAUGGAAAUUGGACUAUGUAAUGCUCAUGAAUCAUGCCAGACCAUCAAUUCCAGGUGGACCCUAUGCCCCAGAGCCAUGAAGAAAACUGAAGCAUUUUCAGAAGGCAAUGGACAGGACAAGGGAAGGAUUUCUUCAGCAAGAUGUCAAAAGGAAAGAAAUAAAGGGAAAUAUGGAUCAAUUUGA